AACGCGAAGAACCUUACCUGGUCUUGACAUCCACGGAAGUUUUCAGAGAUGAGAAUGUGCCUUCGGGAACCGUGAGACAGGUGCUGCAUGGCUGUCGUCAGCUCGUGUUGUGAAAUGUUGGGUUAAGUCCCGCAACGAGCGCAACCCUUAUCCUUUGUUGCCAGCGGUCCGGCCGGGAACUCAAAGGAGACUGCCAGUGAUAAACUGGAGGAAGGUGGGGAUGACGCCAAGUCAUCAUGGCCCUUACGACCAGGGCUACACACGUGCUACAAUGGCGCAUACAAAGAGAAGCGACCUCGCGAGAGCAAGCGGACCUCAUAAAGUGCGUCGUAGUCCGGAUUGGAGUCUGCAACUCGACUCCAUGAAGUCGGAAUCGCUAGUAAUCGUGGAUCAGAAUGCCACGGUGAAUACGUUCCCGGGUCUUGUACACACGC
rnacentral:rRNA from 1 species